rnacentral:rRNA from 1 species
CCUACGGGAGGCAGCAGUGAGGAAUAUUGGUCAAUGGGCGGGAGCCUGAACCAGCCAAGUCGCGUGAGGGAAGACGGUCCUACGGAUUGUAAACCUCUUUUGCCGGGGAGCAACGGGGUCCUUGCGAGGGCCCUAUGCGAGUACCCGGAGAAUAAGCAUCGGCUAACUCCGUGCCAGCUGCCGCGGUAAUACGGAGGUUGCGAGCGUUAUCCGGAGUUAUUGGGUUUAAAGGGUGCGUAGGCGGGCUGUUAAGUCAGCGGUAAAAUGUCGGGGUUCAACCCCGGCCUGCCGUUGAAACUGGCGGCCUCGAGUGGGCGAGAGGUAGGCGGAAGGCGUGGUGUAGCGGUGAAAUGCAUAGAUAUCACGCAGAACUCCGAUUGCGAAGGCAGCAUACCGGCGACCGACUGACGCUGAGGCACGAAAGCGUGGGUAUCGAACAGGAUUAGAUACCCUGGUAGUC